GAUUUUGGCUCAGGAUGAACGCUAGCGACAGGCUUAACACAUGCAAGUCGAGGGGCAGCGGGGGUAGCAAUACCCGCCGGCGACCGGCGCACGGGUGAGUAACGCGUAUGCAACUUACCUAUCAGAGGGGGAUAACCCGGCGAAAGUCGGACUAAUACCGCAUGAAGCAGGGGCCCCGCAUGGGGAUAUUUGCUGAAGAUUCAUCGCUGAUAGAUAGGCAUGCGUUCCAUUAGGCAGUUGGCGGGGUAACGGCCCACCAAACCGACGAUGGAUAGGGGUUCUGAGAGGAAGGUCCCCCACAUUGGUACUGAGACACGGACCAAACUCCUACGGGAGGCAGCAGUGAGGAAUAUUGGUCAAUGGGCGUAAGCCUGAACCAGCCAAGUCGCGUGAGGGAUGAAGGUUCUAUGGAUCGUAAACCUCUUUUAUAAGGGAAUAAAGUGCGGGACGUGUCCAGUUUUGUAUGUACCUUAUGAAUAAGGAUCGGCUAACUCCGUGCCAGCAGCCGCGGUAAUACGGAGGAUCCGAGCGUUAUCCGGAUUUAUUGGGUUUAAAGGGUGCGUAGGCGGCCUUUUAAGUCAGCGGUGAAAGUCUGUGGCUCAACCAUAGAAUUGCCGUUGAAACUGGGGGGCUUGAGUAUGUUUGAGGCAGGCGGAAUGCGUGGUGUAGCGGUGAAAUGCUUAGAUAUCACGCAGAACCCCGAUUGCGAAGGCAGCCUGCCAAGCCAUGACUGACGCUGAUGCACGAAAGCGUGGGGAUCAAACAGGAUUAGAUACCCUGGUAGUCCACGCAGUAAACGAUGAACACUAGCUGUUUGCGAUACAGUGUAAGCGGCCAGGGAAAGAGUUAAGUGAUCCACACGGGGAGUACGCCGCCAACGGGAAAACUCAAAGGAAUAGACGGGGGCCCGCACAAGCGGAGGAACAUGUGGUUUAAUUCGAUGAUACGCGAGGAACCUUACCCGGGUUUGAACGCAUUCGGACCGAGGUGGAAACACCUUUUCUAGCAAUAGCCGUUUGCGAGGUGGUGCAUGGUUGUCGCCAGCUCGUGCCGUGAGGUGUCGGCUUAAGUGCCAUAACGAGCGCAACCCCCGCCACUAGUUACUAACAGGUAAAGAUGAGGACUCUGGUGGGACUGCCAGCGUAAGCUGCGAGGAAGGCGGGGAGGACGUCAAAUCAGCACGGCCCUUACAUCCGGGGCGACACACGUGUUACAAUGGCGUGGACAAAGGGAUGCCACCCGGCGACAGGGAGCGAAUCCCCAAACCACGUCUCAGUUCGGAUCGGAGUGUGCAACCCGACUCCGUGAAGCUGGAUUCGCUAGUAAUCGCGCAUCAGCCAUGGCGCGGCGAAUAAGUUCCCGGGCCU
rnacentral:rRNA from 1 species